GAUAGGUCGCUGUCGCUAGGGUGAUUGGACACUGACACCGAGUCAACUAGCCUUGGUCGUGCGGUUCUUCGUGCACGGAACCGAGGACGGUCCGAGCCACGAGGGGGGAGGCUCGGACCGUCCGCC
rnacentral:ncRNA from 1 species